rnacentral:rRNA from 1 species
UACGAAGGGGGCUAGCGUUGUUCGGAAUUACUGGGCGUAAAGGGCGCGUAGGCGGUCCUUCAAGUCAGGCGUGAAAGCCCCGGGCUCAACCUGGGAACCGCGCUUGAGACUGGCGGGCUAGAGUUCGGGAGAGGAUGGUGGAAUUCCCAGUGUAGAGGUGAAAUUCGUAGAUAUUGGGAAGAACACCGAUGGCGAAGGACAGCCAGUCUGGACCGACGACUGACGCUGAGGCGCGAAAGCGUGGGGAGCAAACAGG